GGUGGGGAGUAUACUGGGCAUGCAUUUCGUGAUCACCUUGCUCAGCAUGGGAUUCUUCACCAGACUAGCUGCCCAUACACUCCACAGCAGAAUGGAGUUGCGGAAAGGAAGAACAGACAUCUCAUGGAGGUGUCCCGGUCCAUGAUGUUCCACAAAGGGGUUCCCAAGAGGUAUUGGAGUGAUGCUGUGAUGACUGCGUGCUAUCUCAUCAACAGGAUACCAACCAGGAUCUUGGCAGAUCAGUCUCCAUUUGAGGUACUCAACAAGAGCAGGCCAGUCUUGGAUCACCUGAGGACCUUUGGAUGCGUGUGUUAUGUUCUUGUACCAGGCGAGCAGAGAAACAAACUAGAAGCAAAGAGCACCAAGGCUAUGAUGAUUGGGUAUUCUACUUCACAGAAGGGAUACAAAUGCUAUGAUCCUACUGCUAGGAGAGUCCUAGUGUCAAGGGAUGUCAGAUUCAUGGAAGACAAAGGAUACUAUGAUGAGCAGACAUGGGAAGACUUGGAGGAUCUCUCCCAGCCAUCAGAAAGAGCUGCUUGCUUGAGAAACAUCCUAGAGGGGCUCGGAAUUGGAGUGUCCCAGGAUCAGAGUAGGCGUCCAGAACCUACUCCAGCUGCAGCAGAAGAACCAUCCCACUUUGCACAUGAGGGGGGAAGUGAAUCAGUAUCUGAACUAGAGGACCAAGGCUUAGAAGAGGCCGGUGAGCUAGGAAACAGAGGAACUGAUUCUCCUGUCCAAAGUGGAGAAGGAUCAGCAAGGGAAGAACUGAAUGAAAGUCAGAAUGACGAAGAUCAGAGACAAGGAGAAGCUAGAGCUGAAGCUGAAGAACAGACUGAAGCAGUGACUCCACAAGUAGAAGAAGAACAAGAAAUGGCGCAAGAAGGGCCAGUGUUGAGAAGGAGUACAAGGCUGAGAAAGGAUCCUUCUAGUUGGGUAAACACGAGAGUGUACUACAAUGCCCAAGCUGUGAAGCAUCCUACUCAGGCCGUGUGUUCUUUUGCUCAAUAUCCAGAAGCACAUUGUGCUUUCAUGGUAAACUUAGAUGAGAAUCACAUUCCAAGAAGCUAUGAAGAGGCAAUGGAAGAUAAGGAAUGGAAGGAAUCAGUAGGAGCUGAAUCAGGAGCUAUGAUAAAGAAUGAUACAUGGUAUGAGAGUGAACUACCAAAAGGGAAGAAAGCUGUGUCUAGUAGAUGGAUCUUUACAAUCAAGUACAAGGCUGAUGGGUCGAUUGAGAGGAAGAAGACUAGACUAGUAGCAAGAGGGUUCACUCAGACAUAUGGAGAGGAUUACAUUGAGACAUUUGCUCCAGUAGCCAAGCUACACACCAUUAGGAUUAUUUUAAGCUUGGCUGUGAACCUUGGAUGGGGAUUGUGGCAAAUGGAUGUAAAGAAUGCAUUUCUGCAAGGAGAGCUUGAGGAUGAAGUGUAUAUGUAUCCUCCACCAGGCCUAGAACAUCUAGUAAAGAGAGGGAAUGUUCUGAGGCUAAAGAAAGCCAUUUAUGGGUUGAAGCAAUCACCAAGAGCUUGGUAUAACAAGUUGAGCACAACUCUGAAUGGCCGAGGCUUCAAGAAGUCUGAACUAGACCACACCCUCUUCACUCUUACCACUACCUCAGGUAUGAUUGCACUCCUUGUGUAUGUUGAUGAUAUCAUUAUCACAGGGAGUGACAAGGAAGGUAUCAUAGCAACCAAGGAGUUCCUUAAAUCCAUGUUUGAGAUUAAAGACUUGGGAGAAAUGAAAUACUUUCUUGGAAUUGAGAUAUGUAGAUCCAAGGAAGGGUUGUUCAUGUCCCAAAGAAAGUAUACACUUGAUCUUUUGAAAGGUGCAGGUGCUUAUGGAGGCAAGACAGCAAGGAUGCCUAUGGAGGAUGGCUACAAAGUCCCACGAGAGGGGGAGAUUGAAGACAGCAAACCUUACCAGGAUCCUAAACUCUAUAGAAAACUAGUUGGUAAAUUGAUUUACCUUACCAUUACAAGGCCUGAUAUAUGUUUUGCCGUGAAUCAGGUGAGCCAACACAUGCAGCUUCCCAAGGAACAUCACUGGCGCAUGGUGGAGAGGCUGUUGAUGUAUCUGAAUGGCUCGCCGGAUCAAGGAGUAUGGAUGGGAUGCAAUGGAAGCUCAGAAGUGGUGGGCUAUUGUGAUGCUGAUUGGGCAGGAGAUAGAGCUGACAGGAGAUCAACAACCGGCUAUUGCACAUUCAUUGGAGGCAACUUGGUAACUUGGAAGAGCAAGAAGCAGAAGGUGGUGUCAUGCUCAAGUGCUGAAGCUGAGUAUAGAGCUAUGCUGAAGCUUACAAACGAGUUGGUAUGGAUCAAAGGCAUCUUGAAGCACUUGGAGAUUGAUCAAGCCACUCCAAUGACAAUGCAUUGCGACAAUCAAGCUGCCAUUCACAUUGCAUCCAACUCGGUGUUCCAUGAGAGAACCAAGCACAUUGAGGUUGAUUGCCACAAAGUAAGACAGAUGAUUGUGCUUGGAGUGAUCUUACCUUGCUACACGAGAAGUGAAGAUCAGUUGGCUGAUGUGUUCACCAAGGCUGCGAGACAGAAGACUAUGGAGUCCAUUCACAUUAGAUUGGGACUCAUAGAUCUUGGGAAGAGAAGGAGCUGAUCCCCUCAGCUGUGAGAUCUUUACUCUUUUUCCCUCAUUAAGGUUUUAUCCCAAUGGGUUUUCCUUAGUGAGGUUUUUAAUGAGGAAGGUCUCAUGGCUGUCCAAGCUUAGACUGUCACAAAGCUAAGCUUGAGGGGGAGUGUUAAGAAGAGAGCCUUAUGGUAUGAAGAGGAGACCUUAGGAAGUGUAGAAGCAUUAGAGAGGAAGAUAGAAGCAUCUUGUACGGACUGUACGGAUAGGGCAAAGGGUACGGACGAUCAGGCCGUACCAUCAUGCGCGGUUAAGGGGUUACUCAGCUCAGGUAAAAGUAAACCAGCUAGAGUUACUUUACCUUAAGGCUGAGCUUGAUCCGAACGUUGAGAGGAUAAGGAGGAACGCGUCUGACAGUCUGGCAAGAGCUGGAAAGGUAAAGGCAUAUUCAAAGAUGCCUUACACAUGUGGAGACUCUCAUUGGAAGGAUUCAAAUGCGCCCUUAGCUGUAUCUUGACUUCACAUGCUUUCUCCUUUAUGCAGUCUAAACCCUAGUGUCUUAAGCUUCAUAUAUAAGUGUAAACUCUCUCUGAUUAAUUAUUUAAUGCGAAUCAUGUUACUCUCUCUCUAGUCUCUCUCUUGUUCAUCAUGGUUCAUACAUAAAUCUCUCCAUUUCUUUCACAAUCUCUCCUAAACUUCUCUUAAUCUCUUACCAAAUCUCUCUUAAUCUCUCAAUACCUAUUCUACUCUCUAAUCUCAUAGUAUAUUAUUAAUCACAAGAGUUACAAUAUAUAGAGAGAGAGCAUUAGGGUUUUCGAAAUCAUAAAGAGGUGCUAAGCAUGUGAGGUCAACAAGGUUAGGAUAAGAUCUCUUUAACUCGGCCAAUCAGUGUUCCCACAUGCUUGGAGCAUCUAGGAUCUUGGACAAAGAUGCUCUUGCCUUUCCAGCUGUGCCAGCCUGUAAAGCCGCGCCUCUCUUAUCCUUAAACGGUCUGAUCAGCCAGCCAAAGCCCCUUCUCUUCUCAUAAGUUACUCGGGUAACUUAUUGUAACCGUGGUCGAGGUUUCACCUGUCUGACUGUGUACGGACCGUACGGCCUUGUACGGUCAUGCCAAUGUGAACCUCUCCCAUCACCCCAAUGCUUAACAUACACUCUUCAGUCUUCACCCCUACUACUUCUCACUUGUAUACUCAACUCUUCUCAACACUCCCCCUCAAGCUUAGUUUUGUGAAGUCUAAGCUUGGACACUAUGAGAUCUUCCUCAUUAAAAACCUCAUCAAAGAAAACCCAUUGGGACAAAACUUUGAUGAGGGAAAAAGAGUAAAGACCUCAUAGGAAGGGGAUCAGCUCUUGGCUGAGAGAUCAAUGAGCCCUAACCUGAUGUAGAUGGACUCCAUUGUCUUCAUCCUUGCGGCUUUAGUAAACACAUCAGCCAACUGAUCUUCACUUCUUGUGUAGCAUGGCAGGAUCACUCCUAAGACUAUCAUCUGCCUCACCUUGUGACAAUCCACUUCAAUAUGCUUGGUUCUCUCAUGAAAUACUGAGUUAGAUGCAAUGUGAAUUGCAGCCUGAUUGUCGCAAUGCAUUGUCAUUGGCGCCGCUUGCUCAAUCUCAAUGUGCUUCAAGAUCCCUUGAUCCACACUAACUCAUUGGUAAGCUUCAGCAUUGCCCUAUACUCAGCUUCAGCACUUGAGCAGGAGACUACUUUCUGCUUCUUGCUCUUCCAAGUCACAAGGUUCCCUCCAAUGAAGGUGCAGUAGCCGGUUGUAGAUCUUCUGUCUGCUCUAUCUCCAGCCCAAUCUGCAUCACAAUAGCCAACUACUUCUGUACUCCCAUUGCAUCCCAUCCAAACUCCUUGGCCUGGUGAUCCGUUGAGAUAGCUAAGCACUCUGUCCACCAUUCUCCAAUGGUGAUCCUUUGGAGCUUGCAUAUGCUGGCUAACCUGAUUCACAGCAAAACAGAUAUCAGGUCGUGUGAUAGUUAAGUAGAUUAGCUUACCCACUAGCUUCCUAUAAAGCUUAGGGUCAUGGAACAGCUUGCUGUCUUCAAGCUCCCCCUCUCUUGGUACUUUGUACCCAUCCUCCAUUGGCAUCUUAGCAGUUUGUCCUCCAAGUUUACCUGCAUCUUUCAAAAGAUCAAGUGUAUACUUCCUUUGGGACAUGAAUAAACCUUCCUUGGAUCUACAUGUUGAGAUGAGCUGAGGAAUAUGAGGAGAGUUGUUCAGGGUUGAAGAGGUUGUGAUGUUUAGUAGAGGAGAAGGAUUGGCCUUAGGGAGAACCGUCCGUACUGGUCCGUACAGGUCCGUACCAUGGCCGUACGGCCGUACAGACGGUAUCGACCAUGCGGUAAAGAAGUGUUACCGCGAGAAGAAGUUCACGUUCGGAUCAUGUUUUACCUCGACCAAAUAAGGCUUAUGACCGUUGAUGGAUAGAGGAAGAGCGUCUCUACAGGCUGGCACAGGCUGGAAGGAUAAGGUUCACUUUUAGCAUAGUGACCACGCGUGUGGAGAGGCUCAUUGGUCCGGUUCAAAUUAAAGGCUCCCUUAGCUUUGACCUCACAUGCUUAGUCUCUUCUUAAACCCUAGUAUCACACUCCUAUAUAUUGUAAACACUCACUCAUCAAUAAGAUUAUGCGGAUUAUGUUACUCUCUCUCUAGUCUCUCUCUUGUUCAUCAUGGAUCACACAUAAUCUCUCCAUUUCUUUCACAAUCUCUUCUAAACUUCUCUUAAUCUCUUACCAAAUCUCUCUUAAUCUCUCAAUACCUAUUCUACUCUCUAAAAUCUCAUGGUAUCAGAGCCAGGUUGGCUUUGGUAUUGAGAGAUCCUUGUUCCUUUCUUUACAUUUGCGAGUUUGUUCUUGUGUGAUAAAGAAGAGGAGAUGGAGACGACCAACUUUAGCAAACUGGUGACAGUUCCGGUUGCACUGAAGGGAGGCUCGAACUACUUGAUGUGGUCCCAGUUAGUGAGGACUACCAUUGGAAGGCUAGGGCUGUGGAACCACAUCACAGAUGAUGGUCCGGAGCCAGUGGCCAAAGAAGAUGAAGAAGAAGGCGACGGGAAGACUCUUGCGGUAGCUGAAGCAAAGAGAUGGGUCCAAGAGGAUUUGAUGGUGCUGUCUGUGCUCCAUGCCUCUCUGGAGCUCCCCAUACUUGAAGCUUACGUGCACUUUGAGACUCCUAAGCGCCUUUGGGACAUGCUCCAUAAGAGGUAUGGAAACAAGUCCAACAUAAGUCGGGUGUUUGAUCUGAAGCAAACCAUCAGUGUCUUGAGGCAAGAUGGAGAAGAUCUCACCAAGCACAUGGGGAAGUUUGGAGCGUUGUGGUCCGAACUUGAGAGUCUUAGACCCAACACAACUGAUGAGGAAUCGCUCAUUGAGAGGAGAGAGCAAGAUCAGGUGUUUGGGCUAUUGAUGACUCUAGAUGAAAGCUACCAGGAUGUGAUCAAGCAUAUCCUGAGAUCACCUACUCUCCCAUCCAUGGAGGAGGUUUGUGCACAACUUCAGAAGGAGGAAGGCUCUCUUGGGUUGUUUGGAGGCAAGAAGGGAAUGUCCACGGCUCAUAAAGCAGAAGAGGCGCAAGCAAACAAGGCAGCAUACCGUGGAGAUGGAAGGAAGUAUGAGAAGUAUGAGGGAAGCUGUGAGCAUUGCAAGCGGCAAGGGCAUAAGAAGAGUCAGUGCUGGAUCCUACAUCCACACCUCAGGCCAAGCAAGUUCAACAAGGAUAGAGAAGCUAAGGCUCACCUUUCUGCUGAAGCAAGUGGUGCUGGCUCAUCAGGGGCUAGUCCAAAUGUCAAGGCGGGUGAAAGUGAAGGCAGGGCUCUAACUUCUCAGGAAGUGAUCACCAAGGCUGACUUUGAGGCAUUCAUCCGAGCCCUCAAGGAGUCUGGUAAAAUGCUAGGCAACACUCUUGGAUACUCAUACUCUGCUCAUACAUUACCUAGUAUCUCUGAUAAGCUGUUAGACAUUUUUAAAACCUCAUGUACUGCUACUGCUCAUACUAGCAUAACUGAUAGAUUGUUAGGAGUAGUUAAGAGCCUGAAAGCUGAAAAUGAAACAUCUAGAAUCAAUACUGCUAGGAGCUUGCAUAAACCAUUGAUAAUUGAUUCUGGUGCAUCUCAUCACAUGAUUAGUGAUAACAAUCUGAUAAAAGACAUAGAACCUGCACUUGGUCAUGUUAUGAUUGCAAAUGGAGAUAGAAUUCCCAUUAGAGGCAUUGGUAAACUGAACUUGUUUAAUAAGGAUUCAAAAGCUUUUUACAUGCCUAAGUUCACCUCUAAUCUCUUAUCAGUUAAGAAAUGCACUACUGAUCUUCAAUGCAAUGUUAUUUUCAGUCCUAAUGAUGUUAAGUUUCAGGAUAUUAAGAGCAGUAAGUUGAUUGGGCAAGGAGCAACCAAGGGAGAUCUUUACAUGAUUGAAGACCUUGCACCUAUUUCUAGUUCUUGUUUCUCGUUUAGUUCUGUUUCUUCCUUAAGUACUGAUGCUCUGUGGCAUGCUAGGCUAGGCCAUCCACAUGUUAGGGCUUUAAGCAUUAUGUUACCAGGUGUCAUGUUUAAAAAUAAUGAUUGUGAGGCUUGUAUUUUGGGUAAACACUGUAAGACUGUUUUUCAAAGAUCAUCUACUCUUUAUGCAAACUGCUUUGAUUUAAUUCACUCUGAUGUUUGGACUGCACCUUGCUUAUCUAGGGAUGAUUACAAGUAUUAUGUCACAUUCAUUGAUGAAAAAUCCAAAUACACCUGGUUAACAUUGAUUAAAACUAAAGAUAGGGUCCUUGAUGCAUUUAAAAAUUUUCAAGCCUAUGUGACUAACCAAUAUCAUGCCAAGAUUAAGAUUUUCAGGUCUGAUAAUGGUGGGGAGUAUACUGGGCAUGCAUUUCGUGAUCACCUUGCUCAACAUGGGAUUCUUCACCAGACUAGCUGCCCAUACACUCCACAGCAGAAUGGAGUUGCUGAAAGGAAGAACAGACAUCUCAUGGAGGUGUCCCGGUCUAUGAUGUUCCACAAAGGGGUUCCCAAGAGGUAUUGGAGUGAUGCUGUGAUGACUGCGUGCUAUCUGAUCAACAGGAUACCAACCAGGAUCUUGGCAGAUCAAUCUCCAUUUGAGGUACUUAACAAGAGCAGGCCAGUCUUGGAUCACCUGAGGAC
rnacentral:lncRNA from 1 species